UAAUUUUUAAUUAAUCUCGAUGAUUUGGCGGGGUUCGAGUCACGGUUAUUAAUACCCGUGCUUUUAUCUUCGCCUCCCUCCUUGACCCGGACCCGCGUCAGCAUUAUUAAUACGAUUCGACGUCAUUGUUAUCAGCAACGAAGCCUCAUUAUCGCCAAAAUCCUCUAUAUC